rnacentral:misc_RNA from 1 species
GAUGAAGAACGUAGCGAAAUGCGAUAAGUAAUGUGAAUUGCAGAAUUCAGUGAAUCAUCGAAUCUUUGAACGCACGUUGCGCCCGCCAGUAUUCUGGCGGGCAUGCCUGUUCGAGCGUCAUUUCAACCCUCAAGCCCAGCUUGGUGUUGGGGAUCGGCACAGGCGCCCUCGGGCGCCAGCCGUCCCCUAAAUCUAGUGGCGGUCCCGCUGCAGCCUCCUCUGCGUAGUAGUUUUCUCCUCGCAAGGGCAGCUCGGUGGCGACCUCGCCGUAAAACCCCCAACUUCUGAAAGGUUGACCUCGAAUCAGGUAGGAAUACCCGCUGAACUUAAGCAUAUCAAUAAGCGGAGGA